UUUAGGCUUAGGCUUAGGCUCAGGUUUAAGCUCAGGCAUAGGCUUAGGCUUAGGCUUAGGUUUAAGUUUGGGCUUAGAUUUAGGAUUCGGCUUAGUCUCAGGCUUGAAUUUAGGCUUACCUU
ensembl:ncRNA B0454.18 ncRNA